CCUACGGGAGGCAGCAGUGGGGAAUUUUGCGCAAUGACCGAAAGGUUGACGCAGCAACGCCGCGUGUAUGAUGAAGGCUUUCGGGUCGUAAAGUACUUUCAGUGGGGAAGAACUGCAUAAUCAGUAACUGGGUUAUGAUUGACGGUACCCACAGAAGCAGCCCCGGCUAACUCCGUGCCAGCAGCCGCGGUAAUACGGAGGGGGCAAGCGUUGUUCGGAGUCACUGGGCGUAAAGAGCUCGUAGGCGGCAGUGUAAGUCGGGAGUUAAAGGCAACAGCUCAACUGUUGUAAGGCUUCUGAAACUACAUUGCUAGAGUGCCAGAGAGGUAUGCGGAAUUCCCUGUGUAGCGGUGAAAUGCGUAGAUAUAGGGAGGAACACCGGUUGCGAAGGCGGCAUACUGGCUGGUAACUGACGCUGAGGAGCGAAAGCGUGGGUAGCAAACA
rnacentral:rRNA from 1 species